CCUACGGGGGGCUGCAGUGGGGAAUAUUGGACAAUGGGGGGAACCCUGAUCCAGCCAUGCCGCGUGUGUGAAGAAGGCCCUCGGGUUGUAAAGCACUUUCAGUGAGGAAGAACGCCUGGUGGUUAAUACCCAUCAGGAAAGACAUCACUCACAGAAGAAGCACCGGCUAACUCCGUGCCAGCAGCCGCGGUAAUACGGAGGGUGCGAGCGUUAAUCGGAAUUACUGGGCGUAAAGCGCGCGUAGGUGGCUUGAUAAGCCGGUUGUGAAAGCCCCGGGCUCAACCUGGGAACGGCAUCCGGAACUGUCAAGCUAGAGUGCAGGAGAGGAAGGUAGAAUUCCCGGUGUAGCGGUGAAAUACGUAGAGAUCGGGAGGAAUACCAGUGGCGAAGGCGGCCUUCUGGACUGACACUGACACUGAGGUGCGAAAGCGUGGGUAGCAAACAGGAUUAGAUACCCGUGUAGUC
rnacentral:rRNA from 1 species